AUCCAGCUGACGAGUGCAAAAUAGGAGGAAACGUGCAUCCUGGAC
rfam:Schistosoma haematobium scaffold62_6, whole genome shotgun sequence.